rnacentral:tRNA from 1 species
UAAAUUAAAGUAAUUUUUACAUUUUGUUUACAACAAAAUUUUCUUAUGAGUUUAAGUAAUUUAA